rnacentral:lncRNA from 1 species
ACAAAGCAAGAAGGUAUAAAGCACAUAAAGCACGAAAUUCCAGCAUUUUUGUCAAAUCAAAAGGAUGACUCCAAAUUCAGGAAUUGAAACUACUAAUCAAAAUGCCGAAUUUGAAAAACAUAUUCCUUACUACUGCUCUUGUGCGUGAUCUGAUACUGAGCAUGCUUCUUCCUAACUUUCUAUUUUUUAGUAACGUUUUUGUAAAACAACUUUACCAUCAACCGAAAUUGCACUGUCUUUCAUUCUAGUCAUUUCAUUUAUUUUUUUCAGUAUCUCAUCUAUAUACACCACAAAUAACCCAUAGUUUUAAUUGAAAAUAGUUAGCAAAUAGGAGGAGAACCAAAACACAAAGUAAAACCGAAAAACAUAGGGAGCCAAAUAAAGAAAAACUUUUUGCAUAAUUGGUUUUCUCUUCACUGUAACACAACCCCAACCCACUUUAUUCUCUGGUAAAAAAUCAUUUCAAAUAUAGAACACAAAAAUGGGAAGAAGAACUCAAAUAGAACAGAGGAAAUCAAAAGAUCCAAGUCUCUCUCAGCAUUUCAUUUCUCUUUUCGGACCACCUCUAUUCCUAACUGUCAGCCGCUAUCGCCAGAGCCACCACCACCAUCUUAGUCGCACCACCGCCUUCCCAAAACCGUCGUCGUCAUAAAUAGAUCGGCCAACAAUUAAACCACCACCGAUGGAUUUAAUGUCACAAAAAAGACCGUCAUAGCCAUCUCCUCAUUUCCCUCUUCAUAACAACACAAAGGAUAGCCUGUUUUCUCUCUUUCUGUUCAAUCGUAUUCU